UGGGGAAUUUUGCGCAAUGGGGGAAACCCUGACGCAGCAACGCCGCGUGAGUGAUGAAGGCCUUCGGGUCUUAAAGCCCUGUCAGAGGGGAAGAAAUGCAGGGUUGCUAAUAUCAUCUUUGCUUGACGGUACCUCCAAAGGAAGCACCGGCUACCUCCGUGCCAGCAGCGCCGUUAAUACGGAGGGUGGGAGCGUGGUCCGGAAUUAUUGGGCGUAAGGCGCGUGUAGGCGGUUUGGUAAGUCUGAUGUGAAAGCCCCGGGCUCAACCUGGGAAGUGCAUUGGAAACUGUCAGACUUGAAUACGGGAGAGGGUAGUGGAAUUCCUAGUGUAGGAGUGAAAUCCGUAGAUAUUAGGAGGAACACCGGUGGCGAAGGCGGCUACCUGGACCGAUAUUGACGCUGAGACGCGAAAGCGUGGGGAGCAAACAG
rnacentral:rRNA from 1 species